AAAAAAAAAAAUGCACAAAAUAAAAAGAAAUAGAUACUCUUCAUCGUCCUUUAUAAUAGUUCGAUAAGUUGGCUCGUCCUGUAGUUAUUCCUGCAGCCAGAAUUGCACGUGUUAGGUAGGAACAUCUAUAUUAAAAAAAUCGUCCAUAUGCUAGGAAGGAAUAUCAGGCUACAUUUUGUCAAGUACCAGGAGAAGAGUAAAGUAGUAAAUUGCAG
rnacentral:lncRNA from 1 species